UGUGUUGGUAUGACUUCAGACGUUAUUAGAACUUUCGAUACGAUAACAAACUUACAUAAAGUACUGACUGAGAUAAGAGGCGAGCCCGCGGUAAAUAGGACGACAACGUGUAAACAACGUUUUGGUUUUUGGUUUUAAUACACCACAGUGUUUUACCGCUCAAAAGGCUCAAUAAUUCGACGAUAUUUGUAAAGAAAUAAAAGUUUAUACAUUGUUUAAGUACAUUAUCGUUUUCUUUGAGUAAUUAUGUUUGCAUGCGCGUUGAAAUACGUGGGUAUAUAGCGAUACCAAUACAGUAAAACACUAGUGAUCGAAGAAAUCAAUCAGGACGGUGACGUUCGUGAGCUAUAAAGAAGCCGACUUUAAAGGAGUUUUGCCUGCCAAAUACUCGAAGUUGCUUGACGUAGUUAUCAUUGGGUCAUUGGUCGAUGCUAUGAACUAAAAUAUGAGUGUCCAAAACAAGAAACAAGAGAGAAGUAAGGCCAAAACGGCGGUUAGUUUGGCCUCGAGGCGACUUAUCGGUGCAGCCCACCGAGGAACAGAAUAUGAUGUGUUGAAGAGUUUAAUAAUCGAACUCGAAAAGGCGUACGAUGAUUUCUGUGUAGCAAAUGAAGAGUUUGAACUUCUCGUGUCAGAG